AUGAUUAAGUCCCAGGCUCCAGCAUCUGUUCAACUGUCAGGUCCAUAUCCAGGAUUUUCCAGCUGCCCUAUUUGGGAAUCAAUUUUAAAAGGAGAACUUCUCAUGAAGAUGCCACAUAGUAGGAAUAUAUCUUCUGCUUUCCAACUGCUUUGUGUCCACCUUUCUGGAACCCCUGCCGGGACGCUCUGCUGCAGCCUACACUCCACAUUGCCACCAGAUGGAUUUUUAAAAGUAACGGUUGGUUCUCAAAGUUGCCAAGCACCUGGCAGUAAGUACUUACUCUCCACAGAAUACCAUAAAAUAUUGUUCUCCUUAGUAACAUCAGGCUACAUUGGAUCCCUUUUGUUAGACCUUAUUGGCAUUUCCCACAAAGGGCUCUGUAGAAUAGAAGCUCCUGAAGGUGCUCCGGAAGAGAAGUUUCUGUGGUUAGAUGUGUCUAGAAAAAGGAAAUGCUUGAUCCUUGUCUUAAGAAAUCACACUGAACAUGACAGUUUUAAAGGAUUUAAUACCUCCAAAAGUAAAAUGAAAAAUAAGAGAGUUUAAUUCAGUAUUUCCCUCUCUAUAAUUUUUAAAAACCAAAACCUCUUUUUCCAGGUAAUUCCAGUGAACAAUCAAUGGAAUUAACUUUCUGUGAAAAAUUAUUUAGAAAAUGAGGAACUGCUCUACUAUAUAUUAAAGCAGUCUUGCCUUUACCAAAAAUACACGAGACAUUUUUAGACAUCACAUUUGGGUAGAAUAACAGUAACAGAUAUAAGUCCAAUUAUCAAGUUUAAUGUGGAGCCGAGGCUGGCAGGAUGCAUAAUGUUACUGACUUUGGCUGACGACUGGCUACCUUAGCUCCUGUUAGUGACUGGGGGCUGAGAGGUACAUUGUUCCCAAAGUUUAAGGAAAUGUUAUGGGAGAAGAAUGGAAACUUCUAAAAAAAUUGGACCCGUAAACUUAAUCUUUUGGAAAGGGGAAAUAGAGCACCAUUAUUUGAUGUGAUGGACCUCUUCAUCUGAUGGAUAAAGACUGCAAAUCAUCAGGUGCAGAGUGAGCAAGCAAGUGCCCUGAAAUACACACUGACCAGAAACACACACUGGGACCCUGACCUUUGGUUGUUCCCCAAUUCUGGAGGACUCAGAUGGGCUCUAGUGUAUCACAGCUGGUCGCGUGACUGAAUCUUUAUGGAGGCUGCGUCACAGCCUUCCUGGUUCAGCUGCCUUGUCUCAUUCCCUGGGACACUGUUCUUAGCCCCAUGCUGGCAGUCAGUGUGGCAAAUGGAAUUCUUCUGUUAUCUAACACUAAUGGGUUAAUAGUUUCAGGGUCUAAAGAGAGACCUUUUCAUGUUCCAUAUUCUAUAGGGUCAGCAGUUGAACUGUAUGCUCAAUUAACACUGAGAUUGGUGCAUUUUUGCUAGGCUGUGGUGAAGAUAUUUUGGAAGGGCCAUUCUAAUCUUCUCAAAUUGCAUAACUUAUCCCAGCGAUUCUAAAUCUGGUAGCUCCAGAUCCUUGGAUCCAAGUGAUGUAAGGCUGAGGGUCUAGGAAUUAUUCUAAAUUUCAAAUGAUAAGUCAUACAUGUGUGGAUUAAGAAGUCACAUCUGGGUCUUCUAUCAAGAUCAGUACUCAGUUCACGCUUUUGAUAUCUUCAGUGUUGCAAAUGAAUAAUGGUGAUAGAUAAGCUAUAAAAAGAAAAACAGGAUGCCAAUCUGCUCAAACACAAGAUAGACAUCUCUGUGGACCUACUGAAACAGAAAGGCAGUGAAGUGAGCAAAGCUGAAGGCACAUGUCUGUUCAUCUCUGGGUCUGUCAGAAAAUACAGAGAUGGUCACUUGAAGCUGGGAGUAAGUUAGUUCAUCAUCUAUUUGGAUAAUAGAACUGAGGGGUCCUAUGUAAGAUGAGAGGUCAGUAAAAGCCUACUGCCUGAAGCCAGGCCCUGCGGAAAGACAUCUUAGAUCUAGAAAAAUCUUGAGUAAAAAAGAGCCAUGGUUACACUGCAUGGAGUGGUAGCCCCAGCACCCUUGAGCCUGAGGGGUGAUGGUUCAAAUACAGACUCAGCUUUGUGGCCAGAAAUGGACUAAGUUACCCAUCACUCUUGUGACUGGAUCUUCUCUACCCCUACAUCAUUCUGGAGCAGGGACUCUGCUUGCCAAUGUUGGACUAGAACUUCUGUAUUGAGGUCAGUCCUGUGGAAGUACUGAAUAGAAGCAGCCAUAAAACUACUGGAUAGGGUGGGUUCACAGAGGAAAGAAAGAGGGAAAAAAUAUGCAUAACAAUCCAAAGCUGCCCUCUUAAAAUGAACCUGAAAUCCAAAAUUCAAAACCAAUUGAAGAAAUUUUAAGCCAAUGAAGAUUACUAACCAUAUCUGUCAGAUCAGAGGAUUUAUUUCUGGUGAGAUGCCUUUAAGAAUCUGAAAAAAAAAAAAAAAAGAUUUGAAAAAUAGGUUUAAAAAUCUGAAUAAUUAAAGAGAUAAAGUUCAUUUUUUUAAUUUUUUGAAACAAAGCCAGUAAAAUGAAUCAAGAACAGAUGCUCACAAUAAAAAUUAAGCAGAAAUAUUAGAAAUAAAAAUA
rnacentral:lncRNA from 12 species